CCUUGCUCACUCACGCGGCAUGCCUGCUUCCCAUCGACCUAAUGGCCAGAGAAUGACGGGACCAGGCGCCGGAGCCGGAGCAGGUGCCCCAAUUCUCGACGUGCAGGUGGAGGUGGAGGGAGGACGCCGGAGGGAUUCACAACGACGACGAAUUAGAGGCUGCUGGAGGUGGUGCGGCCUAUGAGGACGCGCGGCGGGGGAUGGUGAGCGGACGACAACGGCCGCCGUGCGGACCGACAGAGGCAGGUAGAACCGCUUAGCGAUCAAGUCUCAUUAGGGAGCCGCAGGUUUCGUUCUGCCUCAAGCAGCAGCGGGACCACGCGGCUGGAGCUUGUCCAGACCAGAGGAGGAAGCAGUGUGAUCCAAGGAGGGUGACCGCUGGUACCACCCGAGGUCGACACCAGCUGCAUCUCACGCAGAUCAACCAUGCCCCGAUGCGGCUGCCUUCGCCCCUUUGGGCGCGUAGGCGUCUCGGUCGGUCGCCGCCCAGGCACCAAGUCCAUCAGCAACAUCCCAAAGGAGUAACGUCUUUGUGGCCCGUCAGCAGAUACUCCAACGUUGGAGUCGCUAGAGUAGAAGCAGGCGCUGAACCGUGCAAAGCUGAAGUCGGACACCUUGGCGUGGAGUGAGGAUCUCGUGUUUAUCCUACACUUUCACCAAUUCAUCCUAAAAUAGAGUCUGAAGCACCAUCAACUCAUCUUA